UUUGAUGCAAAUAUGAUUUUUUCUUUAAAAUAUCAUAUGAAGAUAUUAAUAAUGAGUAGAUUCUGGAGAAAAAAAAGAGAGAGAGAUUUUUUUUUGUUUGUGAUUUUUUUUUUAAAAAAGAGAAGAAAACUAUUCUUAAAAAAUAAAAAAGUCAAGAAAUGGGAUUCGAACACAUGACAUUUUCACACUAAUAAAUAACUCCUUAAACUUACUCUACCACCCACUACACCCUUGAACUCAUCUAAAAAGAAAUGAUACUUCUAAAUAUUUAAAUAAAAACAAACAGUUUUAUAAUAGUUUAAACACUAAAAUAUUUUCAAUAGCCAAUAAUAACUAAUCUUUUUGCCUAAUUUUUAAUAAUAUAAAAG
rnacentral:lncRNA from 1 species